AUUGAACGCUGGCGGCAGGCUUAACACAUGCAAGUCGAGCGAGCGGCGGACGGGUGAGUAAUGUCUGGGAAACUGCCUGAUGGAGGGGGAUCACUACUGGAAACGGUAGCUAAUACCGCAUACCAUCAGAUGUGCCCAGAUGGGAUUAGCUAGUCGGUGGGGUAAUGGCUCACCUAGGCGACGAUCCCUAGCUGGUCUGAGAGGAUGACUAGCCACACUUGAACUGAGACAAGGUCCAGACUCUUACGGGAGGCAGCAGUGGGGAGGAUUGCACGAUGGGCGCAAGCCUGAUGCAGCGAUUCCGCGAGUGUGAAGAAGGCCGUAGGGUUGUAAAGCACUUUCAGUGAGGAGGCGUUACUCGCAGAAGAAGCACCGGCUAACUCCGUGCCAGCAGCCGCGGUAAUAC
rnacentral:rRNA from 1 species